CGACGAUAGCUCAGUUGGUAGAGCGUCCACCCGAUAAGCGGAAUGUCACCGGUUGGAUUCCGGCUCGCUUGG
rnacentral:tRNA from 1 species